rfam:Canis lupus familiaris chromosome 1, whole genome shotgun sequence.
AGGAGGAACAGCCCCAGUGGCGGGGCAGCUCUGGAAACCUGGAUUCAGCUCCGGCAGGAACUCCGAGCUCUCCGUCUGCAGGGCCUGGAGGCUCCGGGGCGGG